rnacentral:rRNA from 1 species
UACGUAGGGGGCAAGCGUUGUCCGGAUUUAUUGGGCGUAAAGAGCGUGUAGGCGGCCAGACAGGUCAGCUGUGAAAACUCGAGGCUCAACCUCGAGACGUCGGUUGAAACCGUCUGGCUAGAGUCCGGAAGAGGAGAGUGGAAUUCCCGGUGUAGCGGUGAAAUGCGCAGAUAUCGGGAAGAACACCCGUGGCGAAGGCGGCUCUCUGGGACGGUAC